rnacentral:rRNA from 1 species
UACGUAGGGUGCAAGCGUUGUCCGGAAUUAUUGGGCGUAAAGAGCUCGUAGGCGGUCUGUCGCGUCUGCUGUGAAAUCUCAGGGCUUAACCCUGAGCUUGCAGUGGGUACGGGCAGACUAGAGUGCGGUAGGGGAGACUGGAAUUCCUGGUGUAGCGGUGAAAUGCGCAGAUAUCAGGAGGAACACCUGUGGCGAAGGCGGCUAGCUGGGCCAAUACUGACGCUGAGACACGAAAGCGUGGGGAGCAAACGGG